UACGUAGGGGGCAAGCGUUGUCCGGAUUUAUUGGGCGUAAAGAGCGUGUAGGCGGCUAGGUAGGUCCGUUGUGAAAACUCGAGGCUCAACCUCGAGACGCCGAUGGAAACCAUCUGGCUAGAGUCCGGAAGAGGAGAGUGGAAUUCCUGGUGUAGCGGUGAAAUACGCAGAUAUCAGGAAGAACACCCGUGGCUAAGGCGGCUCUCUAGUACGGUACUGACGCUGAGACGCGAAAGCGUGGGGAGCGAACAGG
rnacentral:rRNA from 1 species